AGUGAACGCUGGCGGUAGGCCUAACACAUGCAAGUCGAACGGCAGCACAGUAAGAGCUUGCUCUUACGGGUGGCGAGUGGCGGACGGGUGAGGAAUACAUCGGAAUCUACUUUUUCGUGGGGGAUAACGUAGGGAAACUUACGCUAAUACCGCAUACGACCUACGGGUGAAAGCAGGGGAUCUUCGGACCUUGCGCGAUUGAAUGAGCCGAUGUCGGAUUAGCUAGUUGGCGGGGUAAAGGCCCACCAAGGCGACGAUCCGUAGCUGGUCUGAGAGGAUGAUCAGCCACACUGGAACUGAGACACGGUCCAGACUCCUACGGGAGGCAGCAGUGGGGAAUAUUGGACAAUGGGCGCAAGCCUGAUCCAGCCAUACCGCGUGGGUGAAGAAGGCCUUCGGGUUGUAAAGCCCUUUUGCUGGGAAAGAAAAGCAGCAGGUUAAUACCCCGCUGUUCCGACGGUACCCAAAGAAUAAGCACCGGCUAACUUCGUG
rnacentral:rRNA from 1 species